AUUAUUUGGAUUAUACCUAUCACAGUGUGUCAACGUUAUGCCUAUUGUUAUUUUGGACUAUAGGGUGUAGUUUUUAAGUCAUACACAAUAUGGCGGCGAUUAUGCGGAAAUGAAAUUGAAUGUAACUUCGAACACGUUCUUCUACAAAUUAACCCACCUGUAUUUAGUGCUAUUGCUUUAACAUCAAUCGAAGCAAAAAUGGCAUCAAUGUAUGCGUCUAAAAAUGUUAAAUUUAGAUGGAGACAAUCCAGAAAUGAGCUCCCAGGAAGUGAUCGAUUUCGGACACGAAGAUUGAGAAGUGCCUGGAUACAAGGCUAGUAUUGUUAGCAUCAUCUGAUACAAUCAACUGGAACAAAGCUGAAAUGGCUGCCUGACCUGACCUAAAAAUUGGAUGGCAGUACAUCAGACUAGAAGAUUACAAGUAUUGAGGUGGACAAAAUGAAACCUGAGCCUACCAAAGCUGACAGAUUGCAUAAGAAACACAUAAAUGCAGAUUGGAAGAUUCAUUCUCUGGAAAGUAGAAAAGGGCAUGUUAUUACAUACUGUUAUCACUGCCAUGACAGAAACCAUAUUGAGGAGCUGGUCCACCUGUAGGAAGAAUUGCGCUAUUGGUUGGAGCAGCACUAUUACCCAGCCAUACACCAGCACUUAGUUUGUCAUAGGGAGCAUUUCUGAGCAGUUAUGGAGACCACUAACUAUGCAGUUGUUGCAGUGAAACUGGCACCAGUGUGUUUUCUGUAGAGAUAAAGAGAUAGUGUCCAGCAAUGAAGACCCAACUCAAGAUCUGACCUUGUAAGGCCAAUAUGAAAUAACUGUGUGGGAAAAUGGGCAAAACCUGCAGUCAGGAAUGCACAGAAAUCAUCAAAAGAACAGUGUUAAAUUAAUCUUGAAUAACUUGACAUUUAUUUUGUUUGACAUAUUUAUUUAUGGUGCAGUGAAAACAUUCUUUUUUUCUCAUGGUUAUUUAAAUUUAGAAUUGAAAGGAGGGAACAUCACUAUGUAGUUUCAUGUUCAUAGUCAGAUCAAAACCCAUGUACAUGCCCAAAUGAGCAUUCGAAAAUAUCAAAAUGGUACUUGUUGUAUGUAAUGUAAGUUAAUUAACAUAAUAAACAAAAAUAUUUAA